UCGAGAAUCUUCGGCAAUGGGCGCAAGCCUGACCGAGCGACGCCGCGUGGAGGAUGAAGGCCUUCGGGUUGUAAACUCCUGUCGAGGGGGAGGAAGGCGCAAGCUUGACCGAUCCCUGGAGGAAGCACGGGCUAAGUUCGUGCCAGCAGCCGCGGUAAGACGAACCGUGCGAACGUUAUUCGGAAUCACUGGGCUUAAAGCGCGUGUAGGCGGAUGGGAACGUCGGUAGUUGAAAGCCCCCGGCUCAACCGGGGAAGUGGUGCCGAAACGACCCGUCUGGAGGGACGUAGGGGGACCUGGAACUUCCGGUGGAGCGGUGAAAUGCGUUGAGAUCGGAAGGAACGCCCGUGGCGAAAGCGAGGUCCUGGACGUCUACUGACGCUGAGACGCGAAAGCUAGGGGAGCAAACGGGAUUAGAUACCCGGGUAGUCC
rnacentral:rRNA from 1 species